rnacentral:tRNA from 1 species
CAGAAUAUAGCUUAAUUAAAAGCAUCUCGCUUACACCGAGAAGAUAUCCGUGAAAACCAGAUUAUUCUGAG